rnacentral:misc_RNA from 1 species
GCCAGUGGGUAUUCUUGGAGAGACUUGUUUCAUCCCAACAAACCUAGUAGAGCGACAUUUACUGACUUUAGCUCCUGCAUUAGAUGGUUGUGCAUCAUAGACAGUGAACUUGGUCCCCAAGAAGUUGGAUCUCAGCUUCCCAAUGUAGGUGCUGCUACCCCUGGAAGCAACUUCGGCAUUUAAAGAAAUGAUGUAAUCUGUGUAUGUUGGCCUUUUACACUUCCGAGCAGCAAGAAGGAACUUACCGUCAUCGUUAGCAACUUCAUUUAAAUUAAGGAAAAGGUGAUAUGUCUGUGAGCUGCGGUUCCUUCUGAUGAAACAUUGAACAAGUUUGUCUCUUGGACCAGGCUGCUUCAAGGAGAUUGGGAACGUCAAUUUUCCGCUAACUUCAGGUGUUUUAACAAUCUCUUUCAUGAUUUCCCU